CAGUCGCCGCGGUAAGACGAACCGUACGAACGUUAUUCGGAAUUACUGGGCUUAAAGGGUGCGUAGGCGGCGCGGAAAGUUGGGUGUGAAAGCCCUCGGCUCAACCGAGGAACUGCGCCCAAAACUGCCGUGCUUGAGGGAGACAGAGGUGAGCGGAACUAAGGGUGGAGCGGUGAAAUGCGUUGAUAUCCUUAGGAACACCGGUGGCGAAAGCGGCUCACUGGGUCUCUUCUGACGCUGAGGCACGAAAGCUAGGGGAGCGAACGGGAUUAGAUACCCCCGUAGUCCCUGUCUCUUAUAC
rnacentral:rRNA from 1 species